AUGUACUCUGCCGCCGGCCACCGCGUGCUUGUGCGCUGUUGCCCACGCCAGGCACCAGCGGCGGCGGAGCUCGCCCUAGAUGGUCGCCGUCGUUGCUACUGCUUGCGCGCGACUGCUUGCUUCGGUGCUGCUCAUGCCCGUGCCGCACGCCACCGGUGCUGCUUCCUCUUGUGCCCGGGCUGCGCGCCGCUGCUACUACCUGCGCACGGCUGCUUGCUCGGUGCUUGCUUCGGUGCUGCUCCUGCCUGUGUUGCACGCCACCGCUGCUGCUUCCUCUUGUGUUGCACGCCGCCGCCGCUGCUUCCUCCGAUGCUGAUCACCACCGCCGCAGCUUCCUACGAUGCCGCGCGCCACCGCCGCCGCUUCCUCCGGUGCUGCGCACCGCCGGCUAGGAAAAGAGAAAGGAGGGAGAAAGGAGAAGGGGGAAUCGCGGCCGGGAUGCACAGGAGGGAGGUGGCAGCGCAGGGAAGGCGGAGUCGUGCUGAUUGGGGUCGACCAGCGCUGGACUGGGAGGUUGACUUUGUUUAG
rnacentral:rRNA from 1 species